GAAAAAUAGCACAUAAUAAAAAAGAAAAAAAAAACAAAAACAUAAAAAUUCCAGAAAGCUUACUUCGUAAUCCUACUGACUGAAUUAGAAAAUAAAAUUCAUCUAUUUAUUGAGAAAAUUUGGAUAUGAGAUAUGACUGCUGCUGCCCGGUGGUGUUGUGCUGUUGUUGGUAGAUCCAUUUCCUUCAUUGGUGUUGUUCUCUGAAAAUUUUCAUAAUGUCUUAAUCAUCAAUCAAUGUGUUAUGGCGGUAGCUCCACUCCUCCCCCAGAGUUUAAUCGAGAUCAUUGUUGAGCACACUGCACUCUCUGUGCACCACCGUGCAUAUCCUCAUCUUCAUCGUAUGCCUCUUGUGCUUGCUUCCUGCGCAUCUCCUCUUCAAUGUUGACAUCGUGGAGAGUGGUCUCUUCACAUUCAUCCAAUUCCAUAUCUGAGAGCUGCACUGAGGUCCUGGGAGGCAGAACGCCCUCCAGCGCCUUGCACUGUUCGGGGUUCAAGGAGUCUGGGAACUCAACACUGAAGUGGAUGUAAAGUUUGCCCUUCAUGAAUGGCCUCUGGUACAUAGGCAUACCCUCAUCGUUUAUGGCCUUGAAUUGGUCUGUGCAAUUAAGAAUGGAAAACAUUGAGCAAAUGCCUCAACAUGCAAUACAAGCAGAUGUACUGAAACACAAACAGUUACAUACCAGGCUUCACUACUUCACCGGGAAGUGAUUUGAUGAGUAGCUGUCGGCCAUCCAAAUGAGUCAGAAUAAAUUGGAAACCACACAGAGACUCGACGAGAGACAAGGUAUGCUCUACAAAGAGGUCAUCGCCCUUUCUCUUAAACUUGGGGUGCUCUUUUUGUUGUAGGACAAAGACAAUGUCCCCAGUAACAGUGUCGGGCUGAACAAACAGGCAAAAUGAAAACCAAUCAAGAUCACAUGUUACAGAGAGACAAUUACCAAGUUUUGGAAGUUACUCAAGAAAAAUUCAGUCUCACCGCUUCAUCUGCUUCACCAGGGAAUGUAAUCUUUUGUGCAUUUUGCAUACCCUUCUCCACAAUAACUUCCAAAACUUUUUUCUCCUGAACAACCUUUUCACCCUUGCAUUGUGAGCAGCGAUCUUUAUCAUUGAUGGUCUCACCAGUUCCUUUACAUUCAUUGCAAGGAUGCUGCAUUUGCUGAAUCAUAGAGGGGCCAAGGUGUCUGAUGGAAACUUUCAUACCAGAACCUUGACAGCCAGGACACUUCAUUGAAGCACCAGAUUUAGAACCCUUACUGUGAUUUGUUAAAGAAAAAUCAACAUGAUUUCAUUAUAAAGUAACGGAUAAUUAAAGAAGGGAAAAGGCAUAAGUGCAUAACAACCAGAGUUACUCACCCCUUGCACUUUGAGCAAAUUACAUUACGUGAAAGAGAGAGCUUCUUUGAAGUACCGUUGUAGAGAUCUUCCAACGAGACCUUGAGAGGAUGGAUAACAUCCUCUCCCCUUCUCUGCCUUCGGCCUCUGCUGCUUCCACCACCUAAACAGAAUCUCGAAAUCGAUUUCAAUUGCUUACAAUAACCUCACAUUACAUAAUUAAACAUCACAACAAAUAAUAUUACCACCAAACGGGCUUCCACCAAAGAAAGACUGGAAUAUGUCAAAUGGAUCAUGACCACCGCCACCUCCCAUUCCUUCCUUGAGGGCAUCCUCGCCAUAUUGAUCAUAUAUCUCACGUUUCUCUGGAUCACUCAGCACCUCGUAGGCUUGUGCUAACUCCUUGAACUGAAUCAUAAAAGGAAAUUUUUCAAAAAGGUCAAUAUUUAUCUCUUUUGUCGAAUAACUCAGCUGUCUGAACCAUUUUUUUCACGUAAACAGAAGAUUGACCAACAUCAGAUUUAAGUACCCGCGUAAACAGAGAACGACCGACAAACAUUUAAUCGUUCAACACAUUCCACUUCAAAACAUUCAUAUUAUUUACUACACAAGUAAACGAGCAAAUCAACGUAAGAAGACCAUCAAUUCCGCUAGAUGAUUCUUGCAACCCUAAGCAAACAACUCCCUUGACUAAAAUAAAAGCAUGUUAAACCGUCUUAAUUAAAAUCCAAGACCGUCAGCAAAGCAUCAAUUCACGGAACUAAGCAGUCGAUCUCAACAUAACGAUCCACCGUCAAUUAUCAUCAGGAAAACUCGUUAGAAAAUAGCCAGUAUUAAAAAACUACCAACGAUUCAAAAAUCACCAAAGAAUGAAGAAAAUGCUCACUUUUUCAGGGUCGCCACCUUUAUCAGGAUGGUUCUUGAUGGCGGCCUUUCUAUAAGCCUUCUUUAGAUCGUCUUGCGACGCAUUCUUCGAGACUCCAAGAAUCUCAUAAUAUUUGGUAUUAUCGCUCUUCUUCGGCCUUCCAAACAUCUUUGCCCAAACGAUCGGAUCUCAGCA
rnacentral:lncRNA from 1 species